rnacentral:rRNA from 1 species
AUUGAACGCUGGCGGCAGGCUUAACACAUGCAAGUCGAGCGGUAACAUUUCUAGCUUGCUAGAAGAUGACGAGCGGCGGACGGGUGAGUAAUACUUAGGAAUCUACCUAGUAGUGGGGGAUAGCUCGGGGAAACUCGAAUUAAUACCGCAUACGACCUACGGGAGAAAGGGGGCAGUUUACUGCUCUCGCUAUUAGAUGAGCCUAAGUCGGAUUAGCUAGAUGGUGGGGUAAAGGCCUACCAUGGCGACGAUCUGUAGCUGGUCUGAGAGGAUGAUCAGCCACACCGGGACUGAGACACGGCCCGGACUCCUACGGGAGGCAGCAGUGGGGAAUAUUGGACAAUGGGGGCAACCCUGAUCCAGCCAUGCCGCGUGUGUGAAGAAGGCCUUUUGGUUGUAAAGCACUUUAAGCAGUGAAGAAGACUCCGUGGUUAAUACCCACGGACGAUGACAUUAGCUGCAGAAUAAGCACCGGCUAACUCUGUGCCAGCAGCCGCGGUAAUACAGAGGGUGCAAGCGUUAAUCGGAAUUACUGGGCGUAAAGGGAGCGUAGGUGGCUCGAUAAGUCAGAUGUGAAAUCCCCGGGCUUAACCUGGGAACUGCAUCUGAUACUGUUGAGCUAGAGUAUGUGAGAGGAAGGUAGAAUUCCAGGUGUAGCGGUGAAAUGCGUAGAGAUCUGGAGGAAUACCGAUGGCGAAGGCAGCCUUCUGGCAUAAUACUGACACUGAGGCUCGAAAGCGUGGGUAGCAAACAGGAUUAGAUACCCUGGUAGUCCACGCCGUAAACGAUGUCUACUAGUCGUUGGGUCCCUUGAGGACUUAGUGACGCAGCUAACGCAAUAAGUAGACCGCCUGGGGAGUACGGCCGCAAGGUUAAAACUCAAAUGAAUUGACGGGGGCCCGCACAAGCGGUGGAGCAUGUGGUUUAUUCGAUGCAACGCGAAGAACCUUACCUGGUCUUGACAUAUCUAGAAUCCUGCAGAGAUGCGGGAGUGCCUUCGGGAAUUAGAAUACAGGUGCUGCAUGGCUGUCGUCAGCUCGUGUCGUGAGAUGUUGGGUUAAGUCCCGCAACGAGCGCAACCCUUGUCCUUAGUUACCAGCGGGUUAAGCCGGGAACUCUAAGGAUACUGCCAGUGACAAACUGGAGGAAGGCGGGGACGACGUCAAGUCAUCAUGGCCCUUACGACCAGGGCUACACACGUGCUACAAUGGUAGGUACAGAGGGCAGCUACACAGCGAUGUGAUGCGAAUCUCAAAAAGCCUAUCGUAGUCCAGAUUGGAGUCUGCAACUCGACUCCAUGAAGUAGGAAUCGCUAGUAAUCGCGGAUCAGAAUGCCGCGGUGAAUACGUUCCCGGGCCUUGUACACACCGCCCGUCACACCAUGGGAGUUGAUUGCACCAGAAGUGGAUAGCCUAACCUUCGGGAAGGCGUUCACCACGGUGUGGUUGAUGACUGGGGUG